CAAAAUCGAAACCUGCUUUAAAAUUUUUUCUUUAAAGAAAACAUUUCAACUUUUUCCUUCAAAAAAAAAAACUAAAGUUUUGAAACUCUUCCCCUUCACUUUCUCCUUUUUUCCUCUUCUUCGACAGACCACCAUUUUGAGCCAAACUUCGACUUCAAAGGUUUCUCUUGCGCCGCGUAGGCCAUGGUGACAUGAACGGACGUGGGUGAGGAACGAACGAGUUGAGGGUCGUGCUUGGUGUGCCAACGUGUGUGAUGAAGAGGUGCUGAUGGUCGUGGGUGGAGAACGUGGGCACAUGGUGAAGGGAGGCAGUUUGCUGGAAAAUAAUUUUUUUUUUUGUGGGCUAAGGGUUUUUUUAAAAAAUUUGGGCUUUUGUUUUACUUGGAUUUUUAUGUAAUGGUUUGUAUUUUAGGUUUAUUAUUUAGUGUAAUUGGGCUGGCUUAAUUUAAUUGGUUUUAUUUUUGGGUUUUUUAUUUA